rnacentral:rRNA from 1 species
UACGGAGGGUGCAAGCGUUAUCCGGAUUCACUGGGUUUAAAGGGUGCGUAGGCGGGCAGGGAAGUCAGUGGUGAAAUCUCCGGGCUUAACCCGGAAACUGCCGUUGAUACUAUCUGUCUUGAAUAUUGUGGAGGUAAGCGGAAUAUGUCAUGUAGCGGUGAAAUGCUUAGAUAUGACAUAGAACACCAAUUGCGAAGGCAGCUUACUACACAGUUAUUGACGCUGAGGCACGAAAGCGUGGGGAUCAAACAGG